UUUAGUUUUCUUGUUUUUAUUUUCUGUACAAUUCACGCUCAUGAAGUUAUGGGUUCAAGUCUUGAAAAAAUCUCUGACAGAAAUGCAAGUUAAGGCUGCAUACAAUAGAUUCUUGUGGUCGGGUUGUUUUGCUGAUCCUGCACAUAAUGGGAGUUUUAGUGCACCGGGACUGCCCUUUAUACAAUUUACGUGGAGGGGUGGGUGCCUUCGAGUAAUUUGUAAAGUUACUGCUAUGUGAUAGUGAAAUCAUAGGCUCGAGCAGUGAAAACAAGACUCCGACAGAAAUGCAUAAGACUGCAUACAAUAGUCCCUCAUGAUCCUGCCUUUCUUCUGACCCCUUGUAGCGAAAAUUUUAGUACAUCAGUAGUGUUUUCACUUUUGACAGUUCACUCACUCUGUAGAAGAAGAGAUGUGUGAGGAGCUGAAUGGAAAAAUAAAAUAAAAAAAAAGGAAAAGAAAGUGGAGUUUCUGUUAAGUCAUCAUUGAGAAGAGAAGAAAGGGGAAGGGAAAGGUCAAAAGGAAAGGGACAAAAGAACAAUCUUUUGCUAUAGUAUUUUAACUGUUUUUGAUUAGGUGUGAAAAAUCUUUAAUCGAAAGUAUAUUUUACGACACAAAUGAUUUUUCUAAUCAUUUGAUGAUGUUGAUUUUAUUACCAGUUAAAGCUUAAACGAACAUAUACGUUACGUUAUUAUAAUUGUAGUGGAUCAUGAUGUUGGUUGUUGCGUUAAUGAUGAACCAGUAAAAAAAGAGUAGCUAUACGCAUAUAGCAGGUGGGUCCACCCUUAAUUACGAGUUGAAAAUAUAAUCCCUUAAAUAACAAAAGGAUAACAAUCAAUAAACUAAAGGAGAUUAAAUUCUAUAGAUAAAUAAUGUAUAAAAAGUAUGUUCACAACAAUAUAUCAGUAAGAUUGACGAGUGAAAUAUGGUAAUGCUGGGAACACACGUAAUAAAGAUAGAUUAUUUUUAAUAAACUUUUAGUAGGUUCACAAUCAUGUGUCAAUGAUAUUGAUUUGUAAUAAAAUGGGAACUGAUUUACUAGAAUAAAUUAAAUUAUACUACUAUUUCUGAUAAUAUAAAAAACUCUAUACGCUAUUAUAUAGGAGUACUUCAUAACUUGAAGCCUCGUCACAAAGCAAAAACACAUGCAUACACGUAUAUGUGUGUGUAUUCUCAAGUGUUCUGCCUUUGGUUUCCAUCUCUAUUUGUUUUAAUACAAUACUGCAAUUAUUACAAAACGAGAGACAAUAGAGUUGUUAAGGAGAGUUUAUUUUCUCCAAUUUUGUAUCUUCUGUUUGGCAAAUUCUGAAGGAGGGAGGGGACAGCCAAGAUCCAAAUAAGAUAUAGAACAAGGGAUUGGAAAUAUGUUUUUGGUGUGUGAGCAAUCAUUAAUAUAAUACUACAAAUAAGAUGUGAAAAAAAAUUGAGAAUUGUGAUUGCCAAAGACCACAAUUUGUUCUUUGUCCAACAAAGGAAAAAAAAUACUCCUAAAAGAAAGUUGACUUUUUAGGCUUCCAAGAAAAAAACUUGGAAAGGAGACAAAAAGGAAUUUUAUUUGUCAUGUCUUCAAUACCAGUAAACCCGUGAACUUGUGCUCCUUCCCAAUUUUUACAUUUUUUAAACCAGGAAAGAAAAUGACAUUAAUAGCCUUUUUUCUUACGUGAUAGCAUUGGAAUUUAGAAGCGCCCCCCGCUCCCCGUUGCAAAUUAUGUGUCGGGGAUUUUUGAAAAUAGUUGUUUCAAAUUAUUUAUUGUUCCAGAAGUUCAAGACAACUAUCCAUUUUACCCUUAAUUGGUUUUGUCUUGAAGACUAUAAACACCUUAAUUAUGGUUUGAUGUUGUGAUUGUUCAAAUAUUAAUGAAAGAUAAAAUAGUUAAAAAUCGUCCUAAAUAAUGUCUUUUAAGAGACUGUAAAAGAGAAUCACCGGAGGUAAAUUUGAGACGGAGAGAGUAAUCUCUUCUUUAAAUGAGUAAUUAAUGCCUAUAUGCUUUCUUGGAAUCGCGUAAGGCUAAAGUUGGAAACAUAAUUUCAGCCUUAUUGGUUUUCUAAAGCUACAAAUAUAAAGUUAGAAUUAGUUAAACCUCGUAAAAUAUAACUCUACUCUCUUGAUGAUCAGACAAGUGCAACCAUUGUGUUUAUGGUCUUUGUUGUGUCAUUGUGGCUUAGUUUAUUUAUGAUUUAAUCCAAAUAUUGCGGCAUUUGUUCGAAGUUAGGGGGAACAAAAAUGUUCAUUUGACAAAACUAAUUUUUGGAUCUUUCAGAAAAAAUAGAAAAAACUGAUCUACCAAAUCUUCAAUAGCCAGAACAAUCCAAGGAGACGAUAGUAAACUGAAAAACUGAGUUUUCAAAUUCAGUUCUUCAAAUCCUCAAACAAACGCCACUGAACCUCAUUGGAUGGUCCGGUUACCAAGUACCAACCAGGGGCGGAUACAUAGUUUAUUGUUCGAAUCUAUAGAUCCUUGUAAUUUCAGCCCAGACCUUGUAUAUCUAUUAGUGACAAGUGAGCGAUCACCAGAACUCAUAAACUUUAUCAACCCUUUGAAAAUCUUCAAGAGGUCUAGUUGUCAAUGUAGACCAACACGCACUUCAUAUUUAUUAUCCAGUUGUAGUUGUUGUAAUUACAAGAAACCAACCAUAAGGGCAACAAAAAAGAUAGUACAAGAGAAAAAAAAAAAUAUAAUUAUCAAGUAGUGGUGUUACCUGGCCAAAACAUUGCCAUAAUCAUUGGUAGGUCCAAUCUUUGAAGGCUAGUUUUAUUGCGACUUUUUUGCUUGUCAGAGCAUAAGUUCUUCAUCUUUGGCCGUAGCCACAUCUACUAAAAAAUGCUCAAACCUAACAAUGAAAGGCCUUAGCUUUGAUAUAAAAGCUCUGACAAUUUUGUUGCCAACUUGCUACUCAUAUUUAUAGUA
rnacentral:lncRNA from 1 species